rnacentral:rRNA from 1 species
CUCUACAGCCAUACCACCCUGAAUGUGCUCCAUCUCAUCUGAUCUCGGAAGCUAAGCAGGGUCUGGUUAGGACUUGGGUGGGAGACUGCCUGGGAAUAUCGGGUGCUGUAGGCU